rnacentral:rRNA from 1 species
GAUCCUGGCUCAGGACGAACGCUGGCGGCGUGCCUAACACAUGCAAGUCGAACGGAGAAUUUCGAAUGAGUUUACUUCGAGAGGUUCUUAGUGGCGGACGGGUGAGUAACGCGUGGGUAACCUACCCAUAAAGUCGGGACAACCCUUGGAAACGAGGGGUAAUACCGAAUGAUCUUACACGCUGGCGUCUAUGUUUAUGGAAAGGGGGCCUCUGAAGAUGCUACCGAUUAUGGAUGGACCCGCGUCUGAUUAGCUAGUUGGUGGGGUAAAGGCCUACCAAGGCGACGAUCAUUAGCCGGCCUGAGAGGGUGAAACUCCACACUGAGACUGAGACACGGAAUAUGCUCCUACGGGAGGCAGCACUGUGGAAUCUUCCGCAAUGGACGAAAGUCUGACGGAGCAACGCCGCGUGUAUGAUGAAGGUCUUCGGAUUGUAAAGUACUGUCUUUGGGGAAGAAUGACUGGCUUGAAAAUAUUGAGUCAGUAUGACGGUACCCAAGGAGGAAGCCCCGGCUAACUACGUGCCAUGCAGCCGCGGGAAUACGUAGUGGGCAAGCGUUGUCCUGAAUUAUUGGGCGUAGCUGGCGCGUAAGCUGAUUUUUCAGUCUGGUGUGAAAGAUCAGGGCUCAACCCUGAGAGUGCAUCGGAAACUGGAGAUCUUAAGAACAGGAGAUGAAAGAGGAAUUCUUCGUGUACCGGAGAAAUGCGUAGAUAUGUGGAGGAACACCAGUGACGAAGGUUACUUUCUGGACUGUAACUGACGCUGAGGCGCGAAAGCGUGUGUAGCAAGUAGGAUUAGAUACGCUGGUAGUUCACGCUUUAAACGAUGAGUGCUGGGUGUAGAGGGUAUCGACCCAUUCUGUGACGCAGU